CUUGGUCAUUUAGAGGAAGUAAAAGUCGUAACAAGGUUUCCGUAGGUGAACCUGCGGAAGGAUCAUUACCGAAUUGUCAACAUGAGUUGUUGCUGGCCCUCAAAUGGGGGCAUGUGCACGCUCUGUUUGCACAUCCACUCACACCUGUGCACCCUCUGUAGUUCUGUGGCCUGGGGGCUCUGCCCUUCUGCUGUGGUUCUAUGUCUUUACACAUACACUCUGUAAUGAAGUCUCAUGGAAUGUAUGCCGCGUUUAACGCAAUACAAUACAACUUUCAGCAACGGAUCUCUUGGCUCUCGCAUCGAUGAAGAACGCAGCGAAAUGCGAUAAGUAAUGUGAAUUGCAGAAUUCAGUGAAUCAUCGAAUCUUUGAACGCACCUUGCGCCCCUUGGCAUUCCGAGGGGCACACCCGUUUGAGUGUCGUGAAAUCAUCAAAACCCUUUUCUUUGAUCCCUAUUGUGGUCAGGAAAAGGAUUUUUGGACUUGGAGGUUUCAUGCUUGCUUUUGCUUUCAAAAGUGAGCUCCUCUCAAAUGAAUUAGUGGGGUCUGCUUUGCUGGUCCUUGACGUGAUAAGAUGUUUCAACGUUUUGGAUUUGGCACUGUCCCUUGGAUGCCUGCUUUUAACUGUCUCUCGAGACAAUGAUGGUGCUUCGGUCACCGGCCAAUCUACAUUGGCGGGGAGGCUGGACCCACAAAAAGAAAAGACCUUGACCUCAAAUCGGGUGAGACUACCCGCUGAACUUAAGCAUAUCAAUAAGCGGAGGA
rnacentral:rRNA from 1 species